rnacentral:rRNA from 1 species
UACGUAGGGUCCAAGCGUUAUCCGGAAUCACUGGGCGUAAAGCGUGCGUAGGCGGGUAUUUAAGUGCGAUGCGAAAUCUUGUGGCUCAACCAUAUAGACUGUACCGCAUACUGGAUACCUAGAGAAUGGCAGAGGCAAGUGGAAUUACUGGUGUAGCAGUGAAAUGCGUAGAUAUCAGUAGGAACACCAAUGGCGAAGGCAGCUUGCUGGGCCAUUUCUGACGCUAAGGCACGAAAGCGUGGGGAGCGAACAGG